UACAGAGGGGGCAAGCGUUGUUUGGAAUUACUGGGCGUAAAGGGCGCGUAGGCGGCCCUCUAAGUCGAACGUGAAAUCCCCGGGCUCAACCCGGGAACUGCGUCCGAUACUGGAAGGCUUGAAUCCGGGAGAGGGAUGCGGAAUUCCAGGUGUAGCGGUGAAAUGCGUAGAUAUCUGGAGGAACACCGGUGGCGAAGGCGGCAUCCUGGACCGGUAUUGACGCUGAGGCGCGAAAGCCAGGGGAGCAAACGGG
rnacentral:rRNA from 1 species